AAAUCGACAAAAAAAAAUUUAUUGUUAAUAAAUAUAAAAAAGUCGAGAG
rnacentral:tRNA from 1 species